rnacentral:rRNA from 1 species
UACGUAGGGACCAAGCGUUGUUCGGAUUUACUGGGCGUAAAGGGCGCGUAGGCGGCUUGACAAGUCACUUGUGAAAUCUCUGGGCUUAACUCAGAACGGCCAAGUGAUACUGUCGCGCUAGAGUGCAGAAAGGGCAAUCGGAAUUCUUGGUGUAGCGGUGAAAUGCGUAGAGAUGUGGAGGAACACCGAUGGCGAAGGCAGCCCCCUGGGCUAACACUGACGCUCAUGCACGAAAGCGUGGGGAGCAAACAGG